AUGAACGCUGGCGGCGUGCCUAAUACAUGCAAGUCGAGCGAACAGAUGAGGAGCUUGCUCCUCUGACGUUAGCGGCGGACGGGUGAGUAACACGUGGAUAACCUACCUAUAAGACUGGGAUAACUUCGGGAAACCGGAGCUAAUACCGGAUAAUAUAUUGAACCGCAUGGUUCAAUAGUGAAAGACGGUUUUGCUGUCACUUAUAGAUGGAUCCGCGCCGCAUUAGCUAGUUGGUAAGGUAACGGCUUACCAAGGCAACGAUGCGUAGCCGACCUGAGAGGGUGAUCGGCCACACUGGAACUGAGACACGGUCCAGACUCCUACGGGAGGCAGCAGUAGGGAAUCUUCCGCAAUGGGCGAAAGCCUGACGGAGCAACGCCGCGUGAGUGAUGAAGGUCUUCGGAUCGUAAAGCUCUGUUAUUAGGGAAGAACAAAUGUGUAAGUAACUAUGCACGUCUUGACGGUACCUAAUCAGAAAGCCACGGCUAACUACGUG
rnacentral:rRNA from 1 species